rnacentral:misc_RNA from 1 species
GAUGAAGAACGUAGCGAAAUGCGAUAAGUAAUGUGAAUUGCAGAAUUCAGUGAAUCAUCGAAUCUUUGAACGCAGAUUGCGCCCGCUAGUAUUCUGGCGGGCAUGCCUGUUCGAGCGUCAUUUCAACCAUCAAGCCCCCGGGCUUGUGUUGGGGACCUGCGGCUGCCGCAGGCCCUGAAAAGCAGUGGCGGGCUCGCUGUCACACCGAGCGUAGUAGCAUACAUCUCGCUCUGGGCGUGCUGCGGGUUCCGGCCGUUAAACUACCCUUUUAACCCAAGGUUGACCUCGGAUCAGGUAGGAAGACCCGCUGAACUUAAGCAUAUCAAUAAGCGGAGGA